UAAUACGUAUGUCCCGAGCGUUAUCCGGAUUUAUUGGGCGUAAAGCGAGCGCAGACGGUUGAUUAAGUCUGAUGUGAAAGCCCGGAGCUCAACUCCGGAAUGGCAUUGGAAACUGGUUAACUUGAGUGUUGUAGAGGUAAGUGGAACUCCAUGUGUAGCGGUGGAAUGCGUAGAUAUAUGGAAGAACACCAGUGGCGAAGGCGGCUUACUGGACAACAACUGACGUUGAGGCUCGAAAGUGUGGGUAGCAAACAGGAUUAGAUACCCUGGUAGUCCACACCGUAAACGAUGAAUACUAGGUGUUAGGAGGUUUCCGCCUCUUAGUGCCGAAGCUAACGCAUUAAGUAUUCCGCCUGGGGAGUACGACCGCAAGGUUGAAACUCAAAUGAAUUGACGG
rnacentral:rRNA from 1 species